CUUGGAGGGAGCUGCCUGGGAAUAGAGUACCUAAAGUAGGGCAAGAGGAACUCCAGCCUAGCAAUGCUCUGGGCUGAGGCCUUGAUAAAGCCUAUGCAGCCUGUGAACAGAACACCUUUAGUAUCUAGGAGUUUCUUCCUGUGAAGGUUCCCAGACGAAAAGAGAAGGCAGGAACUUGCAGCAGAAGGAGCUGAGUCAUGCUGGGAGUGCAGUCAUGUGGCAGAAAGGGACAUUUGUGGCUCUGGGGACACAGAGCCAGGCAUACCUUACUGCAGACAAGUGUCCUAACCUAGACCUCCCUCGUGUACACCCUGGUGGCUAGAAACCCUCCUUUCUUCUGGUAUAGUCAGUAUCCCACACAGGCAAAUACUUCAUUUUCUGAAAGUAGCCAGUCCAACUUCCUGGACAUUUGCCAGUAUCCUAAGGGUUAAGAAAUAUAUAAAAGAGGGGAAAUAAACUUACAAAAAUAGCCAGAAACUAAAUCUCCUACAACUGCAAAAAGCUGAUAAAAUGCAGGUGUGUCCCAUAUGAGCAAGGGAGUGUGAGGCCAUAAUACAAGAGCUAUAACAUUGAUACAUUAAUCCCAAGGGACAUUUGAGCAUCUGCUGUAUUGAAGGAAGAAAUGUUUCUUUUAUUGUGGAGACUAAGCAAAGGAACAUGAACCUAAAGCAAAUAUAUAAAUUUGAGUAAUCAAAAAAACUGGGAGAAAAAUAUAAACACUUUAAUAGAUUUUGAAACAAUUUUCAUUCCACAGGUUUUGAAAAGGAACAUUUUUCUAUGUGUUUGACAUCUUUUGAGAAUGUUCACUGAAGAUUUGCUCAAUUAUUUUGGUAAUUAUUCACUUUUUCAAUUUUCUUUUCCUUUCCUCCUUCAUCCUUUUCCUACUUGUCUCUGAAAAAGGGGAGAAAAGGGGAAAAAAUAGAUUUAAAAACACCCUAAAAAGCAAAACUUUUCAAUUUCUAAUUUCACUGAAAAAAAUGGAGAAUUCGGAAAUUCUAAUUUUCAUGAAAAUAUUGAAUUUCAAAAUUGGCCAUGGAAUGGACAGUAAUGACAA